AGACCUGUACCCAUUUCAGGGAGCAUUCGGAGGAGCCUGAAUCACUGAUGGAAUUGGACCGUGCAUGGAGAUGGUUGAGCAGGACAAGGUCCCUGGCUCUCCCUGUGGUGCCCCAAAUGUCAGCAUGGUGGCAUCCCACAGGACUUGUUCCAGGAAGACCACAGAGGUGAACUUUCCAGAUACCAUCGAGAAUUCCUACUCCCAGCAGGAAGAGACCAAGCCAAAUAUCAGAGCCAGCAAUAAUAGACUUCUUAUGAGCCAGGUGGCCUACUUCCUGAACUACUAGCUGAAGACGUACAAAGAUCGAAAAGAUCAUGAUGAAGAACAGAAAUGCAGAGACAGCAAAAGUAAACUUCUUAUGAGUCAAAUGGCCUACUACCUGGGCUGCCGGCUGAAGACGGAAGUCCCUGGCUUUCUGUAUUCUGCCCCAAACAUCAGCAAGGUGGCAUCUGACAGGCCUCCUUCCAGAAAAAACACAGAGGUGAACGUUCCAGAAGGCAUUGAGAAAUCCUGCUUCGAACAGGAAGAUAACAAAUCGAAUAUUGGAGUCAGCAAAAAUAGACUUCUUAUGAGUCCGG